rnacentral:rRNA from 1 species
CAGCAGCCACGGGAAUACGUAGGUGGCAAGCGUUGUCCGGAAUUAUUGGGCGUAAAGGGCUCGCAGGCGGUUUCUUAAGUCUGAUGUGAAAGCCCCCGGCUCAACCGGGGAGGGUCAUUGGAAACUGGGAAACUUGAGUGCAGAAGGGGAGAGUGGAAUUCCACGUGUAGCGGUGAAAUGCGUAGAGAUGUGGAGGAACACCAGUGGCGAAGGCGACUCUCUGGUCUGUAACUGACGCUAAGGAGCGAAAGCGUGGGGAGCGAACAGGAUUAGAUACCCCUGUAGUCCCUGUCUCUUAUAC